ACGAAGGGUGCAAGCGUUACUCGGAAUUACUGGGCGUAAAGCGUGCGUAGGCGGUUUGUUAAGUCUGAUGUGAAAGCCCUGGGCUCAACCUGGGAAUGGCAUUGGAUACUGGCAACCUAGAAUGUGGUAGAGGGUGGCGGAAUUCCCGGUGUAGCAGUGAAAUGCGUAGAUAUCGGGAGGAACAUCCGUGGCGAAGGCGGCCACCUGGACCAACAUUGACGCUGAGGCACGAAAGCGUGGGGAGCAAACAGGAUUAGAUACCCUGGUAGUCCACGCCCUAAACGAUGCGAACUGGAUGUUGGGUUCAAUUGAGAACUCAGUAUCGAAGCUAACGCGUUAAGUUCGCCGCCUGGGAAGUACGGUCGCAAGACUG
rnacentral:rRNA from 1 species